rnacentral:rRNA from 1 species
AACGAACGCUGGCGGCAGGCCUAACACAUGCAAGUCGAACGCCCUAGCAAUAGGGAGUGGCAGACGGGUGAGUAACACGUGGGAACCUUCCCUGUAGUACGGAAUAGCCCAGGGAAACUUGGAGUAAUACCGUAUACGGCCCGAAAGGGGAAAGAUUUAUCGCUAUAGGAUGGGCCCGCGUAGGAUUAGCUAGUUGGUGAGGUAAUGGCUCACCAAGGCGACGAUCCUUAGCUGGUUUGAGAGAACGACCAGCCACACUGGGACUGAGACACGGCCCAGACUCCUACGGGGGGCAGGCAGUGGGGAAUAUUGGACAAUGGGCNCAAGCCUGAUCCAGCCAUGCCGCGUGAGUGAUGAAGGCCUUAGGGUUGU